rfam:Microgenomates (Roizmanbacteria) bacterium GW2011_GWC2_41_7 TT78_C0002, whole genome shotgun sequence.
GUUCCCGUAGCUUAACUGGAUAGAGUACAGCCCUCCGAAGGCUGUGAUGCGAGUUCAACUCUCGCCGGGAACA